rnacentral:rRNA from 1 species
CAUAUGNNGUGAACAUGGCGUACUGNNCAGUAACACGUGGAUAACCUGCCCUUGGGACCGGGAUAACCCCGGGAAACUGGGGAUAAUACCGGAUAACGCAUAUCUGCUGGAAUGCUUUAUGCGUAAAAUGGAUUUGUCUGCCCAAGGAUGGGUCUGCGGCCUAUCAGGUAGUAGUGGGUGUAAUGUACCUACUAGCCUACGACGGGUACGGGUUGUGAGAGCAAGAGCCCGGAGAUGGAUUCUGAGACAUGAAUCCAGGCCCUACGGGGCGCAGCAGGCGCGAAAACUUUACAAUGCGGGAAACCGUGAUAAGGGGACACCGAGUGCCAGCAUCAUAUGUUGGCUGUCCAGAUGUGUAAAAUACAUCUGUUAGCAAGGGCCGGGCAAGACCGGUGCCAGCCGCCGCGGUAACACCGGCGGCCCGAGUGGUGAUCGUGAUUAUUGGGUCUAAAGGGUCCGUAGCCGGUUUGGUCAGUCCUCCGGGAAAUCUGACGGCUCAACCGUUAGGCUUUCGGUGGAUACUGCCAGACUUGGAACCGGGAGAGGUAAGAGGUACUACAGGGGUAGGAGUGAAAUCUUGUAAUCCCUGUGAGACCACCUGUGGCGAAGGCGUCUUACCAGAACGGGUUCGACGGUGAGGGACGAAAGCUGGGGGCACGAACCGGAUUAGAUACCCGGGUAGUCCCAGCCGUAAACGAUGCUCGCUAGGUGUCAGGCAUGGCGCGACCGUGUCUGGUGCCGCAGGGAAGCCGUGAAGCGAGCCACCUGGGAAGUACGGCCGCAAGGCUGAAACUUAA